UGGGGAAUAUUGCGCAAUGGGCGAAAGCCUGACGCAGCGACGCCGCGUGAGGGAUGAAGGUUUUCGGAUCGUAAACCUCUGUCAGAAGGGAAGAAACCGCACUGUGCUAAUCAGCAGUGCCUUGACGGUACCUUCAAAGGAUGCACCGGCUAACUCCGUGCCAGCAGCCGCGGUAAUACGGAGGGUGCAAGCGUUAAUCGGAAUUACUGGGCGUAAAGCGCACGUAGGCUGCUUUGUAAGUCAGGGGUGAAAUCCCACGGCUCAACCGUGGAACUGCCUUUGAUACUGCUUAGCUUGAAUCCGGGAGAGGGUGGCGGAAUUCCAGGUGUAGGAGUGAAAUCCGUAGAUAUCUGGAGGAACAUCAGUGGCGAAGGCGGCCACCUGGACCGGUAUUGACGCUGAGGUGCGAAAGCGUGGGGAGCAAACAGG
rnacentral:rRNA from 1 species